GAGGGAAUAGCUCAGUGGUAGAGUGCAUGACUAGCAUGCAUGAGGUCCUGGGUUCAAUCCCCAGUGCCUCCA
rnacentral:tRNA from 1 species